rnacentral:rRNA from 1 species
UACGGGGGGAGCAAGCGUUGUUCGGAUUUACUGGGCGUAAAGGGCGCGUAGGCGGCCACCGCAAGUCGACUGUGAAAUCUCCGGGCUUAACCCGGAAAGGUCAGCCGAUACUGCGGGGCUAGAGUGCAGAAGGGGCAACUGGAAUUCUCGGUGUAGCGGUGAAAUGCGCAGAUAUCAGGAGGAACACCGGUGGCGAAGGCGGUGAGCUGGGCAGUAGCUGACACUGAGGCGCGACAGCGUGGGGAGCGAACGGG